rnacentral:rRNA from 1 species
UACGGGAGGCAGCAGUGGGGAAUCUUGCACAAUGGGCGAAAGCCUGAUGCAGCGACGCCGCGUGCGGGACGAAGGCCUUCGGGUUGUAAACCGCUUUCAGCAGGGACGAGGCCGCAAGGUGACGGUACCUGCAGAAGAAGCCCCGGCUAACUACGUGCCAGCAGCCGCGGUAAUACGUAGGGGGCGAGCGUUAUCCGGAUUCAUUGGGCGUAAAGCGCGCGUAGGCGGCCUGCUAGGUCGGGACUCAAAUCCGGGGGCUCAACCCCCGCCCGGUCCCGAUACCGACAGGCUUGAGUCUGGUAGGGGAAGGCGGAAUUCCAAGUGUAGCGGUGGAAUGCGCAGAUAUUUGGAAGAACACCGGUGGCGAAGGCGGCCUUCUGGGCCACGACUGACGCUGAGGCGCGAAAGCUAGGGGAGCGAACAGGAUUAGAUACCCUGGUAGUCCUAGCCGUAAACGAUGGACACUAGGUGUGGGGGGAUGUGCCCUCCGUGCCGCAGCCAACGCAUUAAGUGUCCCGCCUGGGGAGUACGGCCGCAAGGCUAAAACUCAAAGGAAUUGACGGA